AAGAGGUUAAUCUAAAAUAAGACUAUUAAUUUCGACUUAAUAAAUUGUGAUAAAUAUCACAACCUCUUA
rnacentral:tRNA from 1 species